rnacentral:rRNA from 1 species
AAUGAACGUUGGCGGCGUGGAUUAGGCAUGCAAGUCGAACGGGCCGCAAGGCCAGUGGCGCAAGGGUGAGUAAGGCGACGGUAACCUACCCCGAGAUUGGGUAUAGCCGCGGGAAACUGCGGGUAAUCCCCAGCGACGCAACGACGCCGGCAUCGGCGCCUUGCCAAAGCUCCGGCGUCUCGGGACGGGCUGUCGUGGUAUUAGCUAGUUGGUGGGGUAACGGCCCACCAAGGCGGCGAUGCCUACCGGGCGUGCGAGCGUGGCCCGGCACACUGGGACUGAGACACUGCCCAGACUCUUACGGGAGGCUGCAGUCGAGAAUCUUCGGCAAUGGGCGCAAGCCUGACCGAGCGACGCCGCGUGGAGGACGAAGGCCUUCGGGUUGUAAACUCCUGUCGAGGGGGAAAAAGGGCCGCAAGGCCUUGAUUGAUCCCUGGAGGAAGCACGGGCUAAGUUCGUGCCAGCCGCCGCCGUAACAC